CUCGUUCAGCUCCUCCAUCCCACGUUGCCACCAUGCAUAGGGCAACCACUCCUAGAAAAUCAUCCUAGACCUUCAAAAGGAAGUAUCCAAGCCAGAGGUUAUCAAUCAUCCUUCUCCUCUUACCUUUCUUCUCGUUCCUGUGCAUAUCAGCCUGCUUGUAUGUCCCAGAACGCCUAAUUUGGGGCCUCUGAUUAAAAUGUCUUCUUCAUGAAAGUUGUUCGUCUCUGUCUCUUCUACCUGACCUCCAAAUUUCAGUCCUAUUGGAGUCGUUUUGAGACCUGUACAUCAAUCGAAGUGAGAGCUGUUUAGAAGUGAACCUGCUCCGAAUUUCUGCUGGUAUUCCUCCUCUUGCUCCACCCGAAUUCCCCAAAUCUUGUUUGAGAUUGAUCCCAAUAAUUGAUCAAGCAAACUUCUUGGCAUGCAACUGGGGGUGAUCAAAUCAAACUCCCUCAGCUCUCUUUCCGGUGGAAGCCCUCAAGAAAACUCACCUUUUUGGUUGGUCCUUAGCUCGGCAUCUUGGUAGGAUCUUGUGAAGUUGGUGGUUGCUACAAGGUUGCAUUGAGGCCAAGUACUGCAAGGGAAAGCUCGGGUUCCAGUUUGUUUUGUAGGUUGUUGCUGUCAAUGCUUGGGUAUGGAGGAUUAUUUUUGGAGGCCAUAAAUUGUUUUAUCUAAAUUUUAUUUUUCUCUUUA